rnacentral:rRNA from 1 species
AUUGAACGCUGGCGGCAGGCCUAACACAUGCAAGUCGAGCGGUAGAGAGAAGCUUGCUUCUCUUGAGAGCGGCGGACGGGUGAGUAAUGCCUAGGAAUCUGCCUGGUAGUGGGGGAUAACGUUCGGAAACGGACGCUAAUACCGCAUACGUCCUACGGGAGAAAGCAGGGGACCUUCGGGCCUUGCGCUAUCAGAUGGACGCCGUAGGGUCGGUAUUAGCUAGGUUGGGUAGGGUAAUGGCUCACCAAGGCGACGAUCCGUAACUGGUCUGAGAGGAUGAUCAGUCACA